UACGAAGGGGGCCAGCGUUGCUCGGAAUUACUGGGCGUAAAGCGCACGUAGGCGGCUUUCUAAGUCGGGGGUGAAAUCCUGGAGCUCAACUCCAGAACUGCCUUCGAUACUGGAGAGCUCGAGUCCGGGAGAGGUGAGUGGAACUGCGAGUGUAGAGGUGAAAUUCGUAGAUAUUCGCAAGAACACCAGUGGCGAAGGCGGCUCACUGGCCCGGUACUGACGCUGAGGUGCGAAAGCGUGGGGGGCAAACAGG
rnacentral:rRNA from 1 species